UAGGGAAUCUUCCGCAAUGGGCGAAAGCCUGACGGAGCAACGCCGCGUGAGUGAUGAAGGUCUUCGGUUUGAAAAACUCUGUUAUUAGGGAAGAACAAAUGGGUAAGUAACUAUGCACGUCUUGACGGUACCUAAUCAGAAAGCUACGUCUAACUACGUGCCAGCAGCCGCGGUAAUACGUAGGUGGCAAGCGUUAUCCGGAAUUAUUGGGCGUAAAGCGCGCGUAGGCGGUUUUUUAAGUUUGAUGUGAAAGCCCACGGCUCAACCGUGGAGGGUCAUUGGAGACUGGAAAACUUGAGUGCAGAAGAGGAAGGUGGAAUUCCAGGUGUAGCGGUGAAAUGCGCAGAGAUAUGGAGGAACACCGGUGGCGAAGGAGACUUUCUGGUCUGUAUCUGACGCUGAUGUGCGAAGGCGUGGGGAUCAAAAAGG
rnacentral:rRNA from 1 species